CAGUUUAGAAUACAAAAGCAAUCCCAAGAGACAAGUGCAGAAAAACAAAAUUCAAUGCAAUAGUUGCUGAUGCAUGGAUUACUGAUCAAUGAAGCAGACUUGGGAGUUGGUCUUUCAAACUGAUUGUUGCGAGUCACGCAGACAUAAUAGAAAACAAGUAAACUGCAGCUGGUCACUAUGCCUGGCCAAAUGAAGGGAACAAAAAACUACAGCUAGUCAAAUCACAUGGCAAAGAAGAUAGAACAUCACCAUGCUCGUGAUGGGAAAAGACAAAGGAAUAUAUUAGGGUGGCCAAGAACAAAUCGAUGGUGAAUGGUAACUCAAAAUAGAAUUCAGUUCAUAACAUUGAACAGGGGAAAAAGGUCAGCUCAUGGUUCAGAAGCAAAAAGACAGUUGCAACUUCCAAAUCACCUCAAAACAAUCUGGCCUGGAUUAUCAUAGUCAAAUAGAUUGAACAAUGAACAUACUUGGCGUGUUCUGCUAGGUAAUUCCGGGGAUUUCAGCAAGUUGCAUCCAGAGAAAUCCACAAUGCUUAAGCAUCUCAACCCUCCAAGCCCCUGGAGCUGCUAGUUUCCCACAAUGUCGUACUUUUAGAUCUUCCAAGAGUUCUAAACCUGACAAAUCCGGUAAGUUCUCAAGCAUCUCACACCUUGAAAUGUUAAUAAAUUUUAACGAUCUCGCUCGAUCAAGCCCUGGAACAUCCACAAGUUGUGGACAUUCAUUCAGAGUCAAGUAUUCUAAAUCUUCAAAUUCCGAAAGAUCCGGAAGGUUUACAAUCAACUUGCAUUGUUCAAUGCAUAGUCUCUUGCACAAAGAGAAUUCCUCAAGCGCUUGGAUAUCAUGGAUCUUCUCACAGCCAUUGAUGUUCAGAUCUUUCAAGGCCCCGGGGCAUGGUAGUUCUGGUAAUCUUUCCAAGGAACUACAGUCAGAGAGGUCCAAUACUUCCAAGUGUUCAGCAUUAUAAAGGCCUGUUAUUUCAACUAGCUUCCUGCAAUUCCCAGCUUCUAUUCUCUUCAGACCCUUUAAGUUAGAAAAUUCCGGUAAACUCUCAAUGGAAUAACACACUGAGAUGUCUAGUUCGUCCAAGUAUUCCCAUCUGUCAAGGCCUUGGAUUCCAACCAGAUUCUCACAAGCUGCAGCAUCAAAAUUCUUCAGAAAUUUCAAAUCCGAAAGAUCCGGUAAUGUUUCUAAUGCUUUACAACCCUUUAUGAUGAUCGAUCUUAAUGAGACUAAACGUUCAAGGCCCUCCAGCUUAUAUAGCUUUUCACAAAAUGAUGCUGUCAAAGCAGUUAGGCAAACAAGUUCUUCAAGCCCUUUGAUUUCAGUUAACUCAGAGCAACUGUGGAGAUGCAAUUCUGAUAAGCGUUUAAAAUUUGACAAAUCUGGAAAUCUCUCCAAAUCUGGACCUUGGCUGACUUUAAGCUUCAAUAGACUCGAGGGAAGAUCUGGGAGCCAUUUUAUGUCAUCAUGAAGUUCAAUAUGGAGAUCAACAAGUUGAGAGAGGGUCUUCAUCGUAGUUAAGGCACUCAAAUUCCUGACUUUCAUUGAUAAUUGUAUUAGAUUGAUUAGGUUGGCAAUAUCUGGGAUUCUCUCACAGACGAGAUGUAGACUUGUUAGGCUCGAGGGAAGCUCUGGCAGAGAUUGUAGCUCUUCGCAUUUCCCUAAAUCAAGCUCUUGGAGACAUGAUAACUUGUGAAUGCCUUUUGGCAAACCGGAAAUGCGUGUCUUUUCCAACCGAAGGACUUGCAGUGAAGAUAAAUCCCCUAUCUCACUUGGGAUUUCUCCUUGUAGAUAUUUACACCCUGAGGCAUCUAACUCUUCAAGCUUCUCCAACCUUCCCACGGUUCUAGGUAAACUUUCUAAGAAAAUAUGAGUCAUGAGCAAAACUUUCAGAUUGUGUAGAUCCCCGAUGGAGUGGGGCAGUUCCUUGACACCCGAUCUUGAUAGACAGUCGGGUUAAAGAUGUCAACUUUCCAAUGGAGUCAGGAAGUGUUCUCAGCGAGUGACACCCGUCUAGCGACAAGCUAUGCAAUUUCCGGAGGGAUUCUAUGGAGCUGUCAAUUCCGACCAACGAUCUACAAUUACGAGCAGAAACAAUCUCCAGCUUCCUCAUGCGACCUAUGGACAUGGGAAUCUUUUUUAUGGAACUACCAUCAAUAAGAAGCUCCCUCAAGUUUGUUAGUCCCCCCAUUUCUUUUGGUAGCUCCUUGAGUUUCUCACAUCCCCUCAAACUUAAGGAUAAGAGAUUCCUGAUAUUCUUGAUGGAAGGGUGAAUUUUGGCCAGAUUAACACAAUAUUCAAGAUUCAAGAUCUCAAGAUUCUGGAGAGCUGAGAUGUCGGGAGUUUCAGUCAACUUAUCGCAGUGCAGAAGCCUCAGAACUUUGAGCUGGUUUGCGAUUCACCACAAACAAUAUAUAGCAACGUCAGCUCUUGAAUUAAUCAUAUAAAUUGCAAAAGAAAAAAAGAUGGAGAUUUACCUUCUGUAAUCCAUUGACAUGGUGCCAUGCGUCCCAGUGCUCUGUGAGACCGCUGACUCUUAUAUUAAGAAUAACCAAGUUCUCUGGAUGAAAGUUUGUUGGGAAAAAAGACGUUGAACAGGCCAUCCAAUCAAGCCAUCUUAAUUUAGGAAGAAGGUCCUUAAAAUCUCCCGUGACUUCUGCCUGCUGGAUACGAAGGUACCUUAACAUUGGCAGUUUUCUGAAGUGCCCAUUUGUUAAGCAGUAUGGUUCAGAAAGGGAAGGAGAAUACUUAAGAUGGAGGGCCUUGAUCUGAUCCGUUCCCUGCAAGUUCCCAGAAACUGAGAAAUAAGGGUGUCGCACAAGACCCGAAAGUAGGCUAAUGAAAAGUGUGACACAUUGUUCCACUUGUUCCAUACGUAAUAUUUGGCUUAAUUGUACAUCCAUCCAAUUUAUGACAGAACUCUAAGGAUCACAAAAGCCUUGAUGCCAGGCAUGCUCCAUUACCAUGUAUGGGAACUCUUCUAAUUAAUCCAGUUUGACCGCUUUCUAGUUUGACUGGCUUUUCAGGUUUUGAUCAGUUUUCUUACAGGGGGUCAAACAGGAUAGAGCGCAUAACCAAUAACAAGAGCCGAUUGUCUGUGAUUGUGUCAUGUAGCAACCUGAGAUAUUAUCCUGCUGAAUCAGACAAUGUCUAAUAAUGAAUAUACAAGUUAGUCUGGAUUUCUACAUUUUCAUUUAUGGGGUAUAUUAUGACAGACAUGAUUUGAUAUAAUUAGCUUGACCCCAUAUCAGCGGAACUAUGCCUAAGCUGAUGGUGUCACAAAUUUGCUAAUUCUACCCACGACCCUUUUUUUUAACCAGAAAUAUGGGAAUCCACACUUUUAAGUAAAAAGUAGAGAGCAGAAAACAUUGUACCUCAUUUCUCUCAAGCACUUUCAAAGCUUCCUCAUGAAUCCAUAAUCUACUGCGUUCACUUGGCUUGUCAGAGUUUUCUUUAUAAACAAUACUUCUACCAAGAUCUCUUAACUGAUCAUGCAUCCAUAGCCGAUUUCCCCUAUUGCCGUGGACAAUUUUGACUAGGGACAUGAGACUCAGCACUUCUAGUCCCAAGUUCGGAGAGAAGCCACAGUCAUCCCACAUGUAAGUUGGAAGUCUUGGAUCCGUUCCAUUGAAAAAACAUGCAACGUCAAGGAAUAUUUGCUUCACAUCAUCAGUUAGGGUUAUCAUAACUUAUCUUCAGCUUCUCUUCAACCUUCUCAUGCGGCACUUUUCUCAACUUCUCUAAUGUGUCUCUCCACGCUGCCUCGCUUUUGUCGCACAAGAGUGACCCAACAACCUCAAGAGCCAAUGGGAGCUGCCCAGUAGUUGAGACAAUAUCAUGACAAAGGUCGUUGAAGGCAGGAGGAGGGAAGUCACGUUGAAACGCAUGUCUACAAAAUAGAACCAUAGAAUUUUCUUCGUCCAAUCCCGUAAGUUCAUAUUCCCAGUAUGGCGUCCCAAACUGAUUAAGAAUAUGCUUAUCUCUAGUUGUAAUAAUGAUCCUACUUCCAGAGCCAAACAACCCAUGCCCUCCCACAAGUGCAUCUAACUGAUCUUUGUGACUCACAUCAUCAAGAAAAAUGAGAACUCUUUUGCCUCCAAAUCUAGAACUGAUGAUAUUGAUUCCGUCGUCUCUGUUAGAAACUUCGUGGGGGCUUCCUUUAAGAACAUCAGAGAUCAAUUCCUUCUGCAAGUGCACAAUUCCCUCUUGCGAUUCCGUUUCUCGGAUAUCAGCUAAGAAGCCACGGUGCUCAAAUUGGCUUGACAGUUUAUUGUAGAUGACUUUGGCAAGAGUUGUUUUACCGGCACCACCCAUUCCAUGAAUUCCAAGUAUCCGUGUAUCUCCAAAUUUAGUAUCUACCAUAGUCAUAAUUUCUUUUACAUGAAUGUCCACUCCCACCAAGUGUUUAGGGGUCACUAACUUAAAAGCAUUCUUUAACUCGCUCAAAACCUUUACAACAACCGCUUUUAUGAGCUCUGCCUCAUUCCUGUCAAAAUCGUGCUAUGAUCGAGAUCAUGAACAAAUAUCAAGAGUAAAACUUACUAGAACAAACUCAGAUAAUAAGCAACGAGAUGAAUUGGCAAAUUAAUAAUGGUCGAUAGUCUAAAAAAGUAAUGUACUUUGCCAUAUAUUAAUCAACUUAUAUGAAUAAGGGAUUUGGAAGUACCCAUUAGCAAUAUUUUCGGAUACCAGUCCUUUCAAGGAUCCAACUUCUUUGAGUGCUUGUCUCCAUUCCUGAACAACGCUAUCCUCAAAACGCUGCUUGUAUGAAUUGAAGACAUCUCCAAAGGUUCCUUUGAGCCACUUCACAUCUGCGGGCUCUACUUUAUAGAAUAUGGGCAAGAUCACUUGUUUCAUCUCUUUAUUGCACUUGAGCAUCCGAACGAGCUCAAAAAGGCACCAUUUGCUGGAAGCAUAGCAUUCCGAGAGAACUGGGAUUGAGAUCUUGCUGUUGUCAAUGGCCUGGAAAAGCUGUGGGCCAAUCUCCUCUCCUAGAGGGAGCUCGUCGUCGUCUCUGAACACGCGAACUCUCGCUUCUCGGAGUUGCUCGUAGAGGUGGCUCGUAAAGCCCUUGCGAGAGUCUGGACCUCUGAAGCUUAAAAACACAUCAUAAUCACAUCCUGGCGAAGCAUCUGAUGAAACUGGGGACUCGGAAACCGGCUUCUCCACGAAGGUAAUUGCUGUUCUCUUCACCUUUAGAAAUUCUGAGGGAAUGAAAACUGAAAGCAAGAUUAAUCGGAUGCUAAACCACUGCAAAAGAAUGAAAGAUCUGAGGAUACAGAUUUCCUCUCUUUCUAUAAUGUACUCGCGUAUUAAAUUUAAUGGAGGGAAACAAGUCAAGGUCCAUCCUGGAGGUGUCCUACCAGACAUAGUAAAUAAAUCUCUUCCAGUCAGGAGUAGGUGGUUUAACGUGGACCAGUCAUUUAUUGAGAUGCACGUGAAAAACACAUUGAGUCCAUCACCUCCGCAUAUAUCAACGAAUUUAUCAAGGUACUAAUGUGAACUAAUUUUAAAAAAUAUCAUAUUUGAAAGUUGAUGUAGUAUAUAAUAAUUAAUAAUUAUAUUUGUCUCAUAAUUCAUCGGCUUUCGUGUCCAACUGUUGACGGGCUAAGACUUAAUCUUUCUCUUGGUGAUUUUCUUAUUGGAAGGGAUUAAAAGUAAACAAUAUCAGAGUAAAAAAUUAAUUGGUGCGAGAAGGAAGAAACAGAUGUAGAGAUAUAAACGACUUUCGAAAUGAAAGGGACUAAACAAGAAAAAAAAGGAACCACCAAAGAAAAUCCUUCUCCUUCCCUUUUUCUGGAAGAAUGGAGGUUCUAGACAAAAUUGCUGAAAAGUUUGGCCCCUAUUUGUUUCAAUUGUUGUUGUAGUCCACAGACACAACAAAGUGGAGAUUUAAGUUGGGACAUUUUGAUAUAGAAUAUAUCUAAAUUGAAGGGGAGCAAACUAACACUAAGGUCACUUGUAGGGCAAAAAUUAUUAAGAUGUACGUGUGAAUUAUGCUAGGAAAAUCCAAAAUUAGAGAAUUUGUAUGUUGUAAAACAAUUAUAAUCACAAUCAGCCCACAAUUUAUUUACAUAAUUUUUUAAGGGAAAGUGUAUCUAAUUGGAUAUAUUGAUACAUUUAGACAUUUCUUCUCAAUUUAACGAAAAAUACUAAAGUUGGAUUAAGUGGGGAAAUUCAACUUAAGAAUGGACAGCUGCAACAACCGCUAGCAUUUGAAAUAGUGAAUGUUUUUGGAAGAGUCAAGAGAAUUAGAUUUUGGAACAAUUUAGGGUGCGUUUGGGAGAAGCUUUCGAAGGAGUUUUGGGCAUCAAAAGCUCCUUGGACCAAAAUAAGAGUGUUUGGGCUUUCAGCUUUCUUGGCAUGUCCACGCGAUACUGUUCAUUCUUUUUUUUUUUCCGAAAUUGUCCUCACCAAUUUUUUAUUUUUCCAUUUUUUGCCCUUGUAUGAGAUUGCUCAUCUUCUCCGGGCCGGUUUGGUUCUACCUGACUGCGAGGGGCCGGCGACUGCUAGAGGGACAUCCUAGGCAAUCGUCGUCAAAGAGUCGGGCAACCUCCGCGAGUCGCGGCGUUGCAUGACCAUUCGUGAGUCGCGGCGACUCAACGACCAUGGCGAGGGGCCGCCCCGACGAUUGCCUGACCCCCAGCAAGUCGGCAGCCCAGAUCUGGGCCGCGGCGGCUCAAAUUUGAGUUGCCGCGACCCAAAUCCUCACCGAUCUGGGUGGGAUUUCCCUAGGAAUUUGGUUAGUCCUCAUAGGAUAUUCGAUCUGGGGAGCUUUCGCUCCGAGAUAUCCACCAAAAAGAGUAAGCGGAACUGACAUGCAGAACCAGAGCAACAGCAGGAUAACGAAAGAGAAAACGGGAUAGCUCCAGUGCUGUGACUACCCCACAAGCGAAAAUUCAGAACAGUCAGGAUCAAAAACGCUAUACCGGGGAAGAAGCACGACACCCAUCCCUUGUGAUCACCAGAGCUGAUGGUCCUCCAAAGUCGGACAGCAACAUAACCAGCAACAACACCAAGAAUCAUGUAGAAGAACAGCAUAUCUCUCGAUCCGCGUCAAAUCUGGACGAACCCAGUUGCGAAAGCAAGCUAAUCAGGCAAUGCAAAGAGCAAACCCCCAUCUGGGUUCGACGAUAUCACUCAUGAACGGCGUCAACACGCACAAAAAACGACUAAAAACACACAGCAAAAGAUCCCGACUCGCACUAGCAGCUGCUCGAACACCUAGAAAGAUCAAGAAACGACAACAGAACAAGCGCGCACGAAUGUCGCGAAGGGCACUGCAGAUCUGACUGACCUUCUAUAAAGGAACGCGCAUAGAGAGGGAGGGAGAGAGCAGGGGAGACUCGGGGGCAACCACAACGCCAGAAAGUUUAAAAUUUUGGCCUUUAUUUAUUGCUGGGGAAGGAGGAAGUCGAGAAGAUGCGAGACGCGAUGAUAUUUCUAGGAUCCGUCCGAUGGCGGUUUGACGUCUUUGCGUGAGCACGCUGAAAUGGGGAAUACGUACCGCGGGGGGCACACUCCUACUGCCGAUUCUUUCCCCCUUCCCCUUUCUUUCUCUCUCUCUCUUUCUUUUCUCCCCUUUUUCCUCCACACGUCACUUCCAAAUCCCCCCUCCCGCCCCGCAACCAAAUCUAGAACUGAUGAUAUUGAUUCCAUCGUCUCUGUUAGAGACUUCAUGGGAGCUUCCUUUAAGAACUUCAGAGAUCAUUUCCUUCUGCAAGUGCACAAUGCCCUCAUGCGAUUCCGUUUCUCGGAUAUCAGCUAAGAAGCCAUGGCGCUCAAAUUGGCUUGACAGUUUAUUGUAGAUGACUUUGGCAAGAGUAUCUCCGAAUAUCUCCGAAUGUAGUAUCUACCAUAGUCAUAAUUUUUUUUCACAUGAAUGCCCACUCCCACCAAGUGUUUAGGGGUCACUAACUUAAAAACUUUCUUUAACUCGCUCAAAACCUUCACAACAACCGCUUUUAUGAGUUCUGCCUCAUUCCUGUCAAAAUGGUGUUAUGAUUGAGAUCAUGAACAAAUAUAAUGAGUAAAACUUACUAGAACAAACUCAGACAAUAAGCAACAAGAUGAAUUGGCAAAUUAAUAAUGGUCGAUAGUCUAAACAACUAUUGUACUUUGCCAUAUAUUAAUCAACUUAUAUGAAAAGGGAUUUGGAAGUACCCAAUAGCAAUAUUUACGGAUACCAGUCCUUUCAAGGAUCCAACUUCUAUGAGUGCUUGUCUCCAUUCCUGAACGACGCUAUCCUCAAAACGCUGCUUGUAUGAGUUGAAGACAUCUCCAAAGGUUCCUUUGAGCCACUUCUCAUCUGCGGGCUCUACUUUAUAGAAUAUGGGCAAGAUCACUUGUUUCAUCUCUUUCUUGCACUUGAGCAUCCGAACGAGCUCAAAAAGGCAUCAUUUGCUGGAAGCAUAGCAUUCCGAGAGAAUUGGGGUCGAGAUCUUGCUGUUGUCGAUGGCCUGGAAAAGCUGUGGGCCAAUCUCCUCUCCUAGAGGGAGCUCGUCGUCGUCUCUGAAUACGCGAACUCUCGCUUCUUGGAGUCGCUGGUAGAGGUGGCUCGUGAAGCCCUUGCGAGAGUCUGGACCUCUGAAGCUUAAGAACACAUCAUAAUCACAUCCUGUUGAAGCAUCCGAUGAAACUGGGGACUCGGAAACCGGCUUCUCCACGAAGGUAAUUGCUGUUCUGUUCAUCUUUAGAAAUUCUAAGAGAACGAAAACUGAAAGCAAGAUUAAUCGGAUGCUAAACCACUGCACAAUAAUGACAAAGCUGAUGAUACUGAUUUCCUCUCUUUCUAUAAUGUACUGACGUUCUAAAUUUAAUGGAGGGAAACAAGUCAUGGUCCACCCUCGAGGUGUCCCAUCAGAGAUGGGAAAAACUAGGGGUGAGCAUGGUCUGAGUUGGUCCGGGCCACUCCCUAACCUUAAGACCAACCCGUACAGUGUCGGUCCUCAAUUUUUAGGAUCGAGGACUGACCCUACUAAGUCUGGGACCAAGGACCGACCCAAUGGGUUCGGUCCGGUUCCAGGGUCAACCCGGGACGGAUCGAUAAUUUAUUUCGUCUUGUUUUUUAUACUCCCUAAAAAAGUAAACCUACAAAUUCAAAUUACACAUCCAUCGACAAUGCGGCAUUGUGCAACUAAACUAUAAAUACCAAUACAAGAUCUCAAAUGAAGCACAAAGUAGAUAUCACUAGUCAAGUUGUGUUUGGAAAGCAAGGGCAAGCUGAGCAUUAGGGUUUCUAAUUAGGGCUUCUUCUUUUUUCCUUUUGAUUUACUCGGCGAUAAGUGAGGUGACUGGCGUGAGUGGCGAGCGCAAGUGUCAAGUGUUGAGUGGGGUGAGUGUCAACUGGCAAGCGGUAAGCGUUUAGUGAGGCCAGCGGCAAGCGGCAAGUGUUGAGCAAGACUAGCGGCGAGUGGUAAGUGGCGAGCGUUUAGUGAGGCCGGCGACGACAGCAAAGGGCGAGUGGUGAGUGGCGAGCGGCAUGAGCAGCGUGCACGGUCAAAGGUGAGCAGCGCGGGCAACCAGAGGUGAGCGGGAUGUUGCUACUUUUGAUUUUGACAAAUUGAAGAACAAAGAAUACAAAAUGGAAGAGAACGUACUUUAGGGAAGAAAGCCGUGAGGAGAUUUACGGCAUAAACUUUGCACCAUUUUGGACGUCGUGAGUCCAUGACUAUGAGGAGUCCUUGAUCCUCACGGUGAAGAAUGUACUAUGGAGUCUAGACUGUGGAGGAAGAGGCCGUGAAGACCUUACGGCGUAAACUUCACGCCUUUUGGAAUUGGAUGCCGUCUGUCCAUGACUGUGAGCAUGAGGAGUCAACAACUUUAACAUCAUUUUACUUAGGUUUGAAUAUAUAAAAGAAUUAUAUAUAAUAUAAUAUAACAUAAAUUUUACUUAGGUUUGAAUAUAUAAAAGAAUUAUAAAUAAUAUAAUAUACAGGAUUGGUCCAGGGUUGGACCGACCCAAAACUCUCAGGACCGAGGACCAACCCGCACAGUGUUGGUCCUGGAAUUUCAGGACCAAGGACCGACCCAGUCCCCUUGGGAACCGGACCAGGACCAGCAGGGUUGGGCCGGUCCAGGGUCGGUCCAGGGUCGAUCCUAAACCGUUGCUCACCCCUAGGAAAAGCAUCUUAUUUCAGGUGUAGCUGGUUUAACGUGACAGGUCAUUUAUUAAGAUACACGUGAACGACAAAUUUAGUCUUCACCUCCACAUAUGUCAAUCUAAUUUAUUGAUAUACACGAAUGACUUAGUUAAGAAAAAUCUCGCGUUUGGAAAUUGGGGUAGGAUAAAGCUGUUAAUAAUUUUCUUUGAAUUAUAAUUCAUUGACUUAAAUUUUUUUGAAAAUGUGGAUUCAAUUAUUGACGGACUCGAACUUGACCUCUCCUUUAGUGAUUUCUUUCGAUGAAGGUACCGAAAGCAAUGCUGUUAAAGCCAAUAAUUAAUUGGUCCAAGGAAGAAGAAAUAGAUCUAGACAUAGAAACAACUUUCGAAACAAAGCAAAAUAAAUAGGAACAGGAGUAAUCCAUCGAAAAAUAUCCUUCUCCUUCCCUCUUUUUCAAAGACAGGAGGAUUUGGACAAAAUCGAUGAAAGGUUUGAACUGCAAUUUGUUUUAUGUAUUGCCGUUGCGGUCCUCACAUGCAACAAAGUGGAAUUUUAAGUUGAGACAUUUUGAUGGAGAAUAUAUCUGAAUUGAGGGGGGAGCAAACAAACAUUGAUGUCACACGUAAGGGAAAUAUUAUUGAGAUGCGCCUGUAAGUUGUGUAAGACAAGUCCCACAUUAGAGAACUUUUGUGUGGUAAAAUAGUUGAUAAUCACACUCAGCCCACAACUUAUUCAUUUAGUAAUUUAAGUGAAGGUAAAUUCAAUUGGAUAAGUUGAUAAACUUGGACAUUUCUUCUCAAUUUAAUGAAGAAUGCCAGGUUUGAUGGGAACCUAUCAUUCAAAAACGACACAAAUAGUUCCUUUACUCUAAUAAAAUGUGUAAUUCAUCUUUAGAUUUUUAAUUCAUUCAAUGUAGCCAUUAAACUAUUUUUUUAGUACUAUCAUAAGUUUUCAUAAUUACACUACUACUUAGAUUUUAGGAUGUCUUUUUCAUUUCAAUCCACUUCCUAAAUUUAAAAAAAAAAAUUCAAUAUUUUCAUCGCCUUUUUACUUUUUAUGUCUUUAUAAAUAUUACUAUAAUUUGAUUUAAGUAUAUUUUAACUUCAGGUCUCUAUAAUAGUAAAAAUAUACCCCCAUUUAUAGUUAUAUUGGUUCCAUAUUCCUUUUGUUUCAAAAUAAGUGUUUCAUAAGAAUAUUUAACAACAACAACAACAACAACAACAACAACAACAACAACAACAACAACAACAACAACAACAAAAACUAUAAUUUAUGUAUACAUUUCUUGUACUUAUAUUAAUCUAAAUUGUGUUAUUAAUUUUUCAUAUAAAUACAAUUUUCAAGUUUUGGGGUUUUGUGUUUCCUUAAUUAAAUUUAGCUUUAUGUAAAUUAGGAAAUUAAAACAACAUGAAUAUCAACCCAAUACAACUCUAAAUGAGGUUCUACUUUCAUUAUUAAAUAUAUUAUAAGCUAAAAUAUACUAAAAUGGAACUAUCGUAAUAUUUAUAAAGACAAAAAAUGUGAAAAAGUAACAAAAAUAUAGCCAUAUAUUGUGUUAAUUUAAGAAAUGGAUCAGAAAUGAAAAGUUAUUUUAAAAUGAGGGCAAUAGUAUAAUAAUGAAAAAAAAUUGAAUUUUUUAAUGUAAAGUUGAAAUAUUAUAUUGAACAAAUUAAAAGUUUAUGAACUAAUCAAAGUCCAUAUAAGAGGUAUUCGUUUAUCAUCUACUUCUCCUAUCUUUGGAACUCCCACUCACUGCAAGGAUUCUUCUUCAGACUUCUUAAGGGUGGGCUUUGCCCGGAGCUUGGGAGCCUUGAGUCAACGUGCUAAUUCUUAGCCAUAGCAGAUCGAGAGCUCAUUCGGGAACUUAAAGUGAUAUGUACAGAGAAUACUUUUAUUGAUUGGCCCCCGUCAAACGUCUGUUUCUGGUCUUCUUGUUCACGCACUCGCAUGUAUCAACCCUUCAUCGACAAUGGACAUGCUUGAUUUCUGCCUUCUCGUGGGUCCCGUCCUCAAUUCCAGUCACAGAUAAUCAGGCCUAGUCUAGCCUUCCAAUCUACAGUGCGUAGCUGGAAUCUGGAGUUUCACUGCAUGCCUUAAGGAUCGAAAUAUUUCUUUUUUAUGAAUGGAUGAUCAAGACACUAGUAUAAUUUACAUUAACUAGCUGUGUAAGUUUGCUCUAGGCCUAUCAGAAUGGGUCAUAACCCCAUGAUGUAACUCAAUUUUACUUGAGUGGAUCAUAGAUGUGUCAACUGAAAUGUGAAAUAUAGAUUUAAAUGGGUUUUAAAAUGAAAAAAGGGGGGGGGGGGGGGGGUUUAAUGUUCGGAUAGAAACCUACCUCCAACCAUAGCAAACUAACUUUGCUCCCUCUUGAGUCUUGAAGAGUUCUUGUUGAGUCGCUCCCACUUCGCUCCUCUCUUCUUGCCCUCUCUCCAUGUUCGAUUCCAGUGAUCGCCAGACAUCAUUCUCCAUCUUUGGUGAGCUCUCUUUAUCCUCUUUGAUCCCAACUGAUCGGCGUCACCACUGGCCCCCGCUGCCUAUUUCUGGCGUCUUCUCCGAAGAUUUCUGAUCAUUGAAGUUAAUUACUUAUAAAAUUUCGGAUGGUUGUUUUGGCUUGGUCAAAUUUGAGGAGGUUGCUCUUUCAUUUCCAGAGCCUUUUCAAUUUUACGUUGGUCUUUUGUUGAAGUUGACACAAGGAAGGAGGUCAAGGGACUAGACAGAGCGAGGUAAGAGAGGAAAGUCUUCCCUAUACAAGUUUAUUAUUAUAAUCACGGAGAGUUGAAACCACGCCUCGUCCCAACCUCUUGAAAAAAUAAUGAUUCGAACCCCCAACCGUGGUCAUUGGGCAAGCCCCAAUUCAGCGCUGCUGCUUAGGGCGACUUAAUCGUGAGCUUUUACUCACAAUUCAGCGCUGCUGCUUAGGGUGACUUGCUCUUUAUGGUACGCCUAACUCAAGCCGAACCAACAUAUCCAUGAUCUUAAUUUCUUGAGAUUGAGGAAUGAUCAUAAUGCUCUAACUUGUGAUCAAUGAAGAUUGAUCAUCCUUUGCCUCACCUAUGCCCUUAUCCAUAACUCGACCCCCAAGCUCCCUCAAAUCAUGGGGUUGACCAUUCAAUUGAAGAACUUAAAGUGAGUUAAAAGAGUGAGUACGUGCUCUUUCUAUGUUAAAUUAAAUAUGGAUGUGUACUAGUAAUAUGAGUCAAGUCGGGUUUGAGUUAGAUUUGGAUUAGGUUAAGUAUGGGCUACUAAAAUUGCAUUAUACAUAAAUGGGUUGAUAUGAGUUAAAUGGGUCAAUUUAGAUCUCAACCAAAACCUAACCUAACUUGCCAAUUUGACGGCUCUACUUUGCCCACAUCUUUUUGCACAAGACCAAUUUUCAGCAAUAUAUUUCUCCAGCGAGCGUAUUUCUUAAAUGGAAAUACUUCAAGUUUCCAUGUAAAAGGUCAACGACUCACGUUUUCCUGCAGAAUACUCACUAAGCAAACUGUGAGUUCUGUUUAGAGGUCUCGGUCAACUCUAGUAGUAGAUUUAACGUUUGAUCCAGUAAAGCAACGCCGAAUAGAAUCAAUGUCAAGGUCCGUGAUGGUAGCUUACUUCUAGGUCCACAUUUUGGUAUUAUCCAUCUUUUGAUAAGUUUGAAUUUAGGUGAUUUCGAAUUGAUCACUCAUUUUGCAGAACCUAAGGCUUAAUUCUUUUAUUUUUAUGUAAUGAGAUUAGUUAAGGGAGAGAUAUGAUUUAAAUUUGCUUAUCCAGAUAAUCACGGUAUGUUCUUAAACUCAUUCCGCGAAGAUACUAAAGACAUUAUGACGAUAUGAGGGUAGAGAGACUCGUGAUGACGUGCAAGGAUAAGCCAAUGAGGGAGGUCUACACCCUGGGAACAAGUUUAUUUGGGCUUUGGCUGAAGGAGGUCAUGACAUGUGUUUUGGGUUUUAAUUCUUUUCUCAGCUCAGUUUAGCUUGUUUUACAGAAAAACGAGUUGUCCACACCGAAUUGGACCCAUUAAAUUCGAGUGACAAAAGAUCCAUUUUUUUGGUUUUAUUCCAAACGGGCGAAAAUUCAUUUCAUGAGCUUAACCGAACACUAGAAAAUACUAUCAUUUUUCUCUUUGAAGAAUAUUUUUCCAAAAGCAUCAUAUUUUUGCAAAGCAAAUGGAUCCUAAGUGCAAGACCAAGAUACCCAAUACAAUACAGUUUUGUUGAACCACAUCCUAGCAACUUAUGAACAGGAAGAUCUAUAUUUUAUCCAGAACAGAGUAAAGCAAUGAAGAGCCUCAUAUAUAUGGGACUACGGCUAUGUGCAAAGUCCAGUGCAACUUUGCUACAUGAUGCAUGCCAGAGAAGGCAAUUGUUCGAAGAAUAAGAAAACAAGAAAAAAAAAAACUGACAAAAAGAAAGAGAAUAACGAUUAAUUACACUAAUCAUACAGUUUCCUCAAUUCGUGUCUGGGAAAGCGAUUUGAAGAAAACUUUUUUCAGGUGCUGAUUGAAGUCAGUAGAGCCCAAAUUCCCGAGUCUCUAUCUGUAGAAGUUCCAUGGCUAGGAGUGAAGAAGUUCCUUGAAAAGCUCGGUUUUUGUUAACCAACUGCACAAGAACGCUAAGAAGCAAAAUUUUCGAAGGAGUUCUUACAAAUGCUUCCCAGAGAGUACAAAAUUUUCGAAGGAGUUCUUACAAAUUUUCGAAGGAGUUCUCCAGGGUGUACUUCUGCAGGAAUUUUGACAGCAUAUGAAUCAGAUCGUUGAAGGAUUUACUUUAACUUCUCAUUUCUGCUUGCAUCUUUUACAAAUAACAGCUCCUCUUUUGUUUGCCUGGGAAGUGACGCCAUCACUUUUGUCCCCUCUUAAGUUCAGAAAUGCAUCACCUUCAGUCUCUUAAUAAGUGAUCAGUGAGUGCAACGCAAAUAUUUGGUAUGAGGUCACCUUUACUUGAGUGUGUUGUUGCUCCUGAACUCUGCAUUUGCCUGCAACUAUGAUGCACAAAUGCAUCUGGAAUCUGUUGAGAAUAUUGGAUUCCUAUACCCUGAUGUUCACAGUUAUACUACUUCGUUUUUCCGUGUACUAGUAUGCCAUUGCUAAUAUCAAGUUAAGUAUUUGCUGAUGAAGAGCUUAAUAACCAAUGGACUUCUCGACUGUUGAAGCUUUCCACAAAUCCAAACAAUUACCAUGGGAUGGAGAAAAGUUCAGUGUCAUGGAUCAUAAACGGAAAGGAGUGUUGAAAAUUCUGUAAUCACCUCAAGGCGGUCUUCCUGUUCAUUGAGUUUUAGACCCUAUGAAGUUUUGUGUGGUUAUAAUUAUGUUUCAUGAGAUGCACGGUAUGCAUUGUCAUUGGACCAAAAUCUAAUUUUAAUCAAAUUAAAAAAAAAAAAAAAACACAUUUAGGGAAAACCAACACAAUAGAUAACAUGCUCAAGCUUCUUGUGGACGACAGACUCUGGCUUCACGAGUCUCUGGUACAGGGGACUGGUGAAGCCCUUCCAUGAAUUUGGACCUCUGAAGCUCAAGAAAAUAUUGUAAUUGCAUCAAGCAGGAUCAUUUGAUGAAGUGGUUAUUAAUUCCUCAGCGAAACUGCUUGGCUUUGGUCUUCUUUUCUUACACACGAACACAAAAGGCAAGACUAAUGCAAAAGGCACCACGAUAGGAAGAAGCCACAUUGUCUAUUCCUCAAUAUUCUCUAACCUACUCACCUCCUCCAGAUGAUCAAGAAAAGAUUCGAUGCCAAAAAUUGCUAACUCUUUCCUCUCUAUUCUAAAUCUUCAGUCCCCUGCUUCGGAUUUAAAACAGGAAUCCUCCAUUUCGUCUGUUGAUUGGGCAGAAAAGAGUCAAAGUCGGGGCAGAGGUACUAAUAUUUCAUCGGUUGCUUCUCUCUUUCCAGCUCAAGACAAUCUUUUUCAGAGUCUUCGAGUUCACAUGCUCACUGGUCAGUUAACUAAUGAAGCAUUAAGUAUCCACAAUUUUGUUGGAUGUCUUUCCUGUUAAUCUCGUCCUUAAAACAAGGAAUUAUCAGGGUAAGUAAAGCCAAACAUCUAGAGUUGCAACAGCGCGAGGAAUUGUCCAAGUAAACACUAUAAAAUUGGUGCUGCUAUAUCUUUAGAUCUCAUUAGUGAUGAUCAUAGAUUUCUUUUUUCUUUUUUGUAAUUUGGGGGGGGGGGGGGGAUGGGGAAGGGGGGUGGGGGCGGGGGAGGGGAGUUGAAUAUUUUGGCUCGAGUAAUCCAUGUAUGUACGUGAACCUCUCAGUCAUGCAUCGAUUAAGGAUCUGCCUCAUCCAAAAUGCUUGACCACAGAACCAGCCCCCCACGGUUAGAUUCAGAGAUAUUCACUUUCACAUAAUACGAAGGAUAAUUCAAUCCCACGUAUCCCAGAAAGAGGAACUCCUGUCUAUUCCUAAUUUGACGAAUGAUUGAUGAGGGGAUUUUUCCGAAGUGCACUGAUGGUUAUCUAGAAGAUCUAUAGUCGACUAAUCGAGUCACACCGUCAUUCCUAGAUGAAUGUACUCCAUGAUAAUGCAUAAAUUGGCAAUAUGCAAGUUGUUGCUGGCAACGGAAAAAAACACUUUGAUGUAGGGCCAGUUUAGAAUACAAAAGCAACCCAAGAGACAAGUGCAGACAAACAAAAUUUAAUGCAAUAGUUGCUAAUGCAUGGGUUACUGAUCAAUGAAGCAGACUUGGGAGUUGGUCUUUGGAACUGAUUGUUGCAAGCCACACAGACAUAAUAGAAAACAAGUAAACUGCAGCUGGUCACUAUACCCGGCCAAAAGGAAACAAAAAACUACAGCUAGUCAAAUCACAUGGCAAAGAAGAUAGAACAUCACCAUGUCUGUGAUGGGAAAAGACAUAGGAAUUUAUUGGGGUGGCCAAGAACAAAUCGACGGUGAAUGGUAACUCAAAACAGAAUUCAGUUCUUAAUGUUGAACGGGGGAAAAAGGUCAGGUAAUGGUUCAGAGGCAAAAAGACAGUUGCAACUUCCAAAUCACCUCAAAACGAUCUGGCCUGGAUCCUCGUAGUCAGAUGAUGAACAUACUUGGCGUGUUCUGUUAGGUAAUUCUGGGGGUUUCAGGAAGUUGCAUCCAGAGAAAUCCACAAUG
rnacentral:lncRNA from 1 species